rfam:Schistosoma haematobium scaffold811_29, whole genome shotgun sequence.
AUCCAUUCGACGAGUUCCAAAUAGGAAGAAACACGCGUCCUGGAU